rnacentral:rRNA from 1 species
AUUGAACGCUGGCGGCAGGCCUAACACAUGCAAGUCGAACGAGUGGCGGACGGGUGAGUAAUGUCUGGGAAACUGCCUGAUGGAGGGGGAUAACUACUGGAAAAGGUAGCUAAUACCGCAUACCAUCAGAUGUGCCCAGAUGGUAUUAGCUAGGUGGUGGGGUAACGGCUCACCAAGGGGACGAUCCCUAGCUGGUCUGCGAGGCUGACCAGCCACACGGGAAGUUAGACACGGUCCAGACUCCUACGGGAGGCAGCAGUGGGGAAGAUUGCACAAUGGGCGCAAGCCUGAUGCAGCCAUUCCGCGUGUAUGAAGAAGGCCUUCGGGUUGUAAAGUACUUUCAGCGGGGAGGCGUUACCCGCAGAAGAAGCACCGGCUAACUCCGUGCCAGCAGCCGCGGUAAUUC